CAGUUUAUUGUCAGCUUUCAAGCGGUUGUACGGUUAGUCACAAGAUUGGUACUAAUUCCUGAACUUUUAAAGUGUUUAAUAUGGAUAACUUCGAAACAAGCGGAGAAUCUUCAUUGAAUCAACCUAAUGUAAUUCGUAAACCAAAGGAAAAACGUGAAACCAAGGAAACGAUAAGCAGAUGGUGUAAACACUGUUUUUUUACAGCAAUCUGUGACGAUGUGAUUGAAAAUUUGUGUGUGUUUGUGUUUGUGUAUUGGUGUGUGACUGAGCAUGCGUUUGUGUUUGCGUGUUUGUGCAUGUGGGUGUGUGCGUUUGUGUGUUUAAUCGUGUACAAGAUUUUCAGAGUAUGUGAGUGUGACCAUGUGUGCGUCCCGGUAAUUUUGAAUGCAGUUGGUGAAUUAUAGCUACAAUUAAGACUCGAUAGAAUGGCGAUGAAAUGGACCUUACGCACACCUAAUGCAAAGGAAAUAGAAGUUAUAGAGCACACCGAUUUGACCACACCAUAAGUUCUCAGGACAAGAUGCCAGUGAUGCGAAUUGCGGAUGAUUUAGUCCGAUUCUGAGGAUAAAGACGGACACACUUCUAUGUAUGCGAUCUUCACUGUCAUAAGAGACGGACUCUUAUUUUAGAUGUUAGCGACAAUCUGUGCCACUAUACGCAAGAUCCACACAAAGUAUAACUCAACGGGCAAUCUCAAAACACGGAAGGAGCAGAACGAGCUGCAAAGUUCACGAGAUGUCGCCGUCAAAGACGAACGCAGUCCUCUGAAGGGAACGCAGAAACUUUCUAGAUUCAUCACCGAAAAAAAUUACAAGAGACAUGAAGUUUUGGAUCUGCAGCUUUCAAAAACUACCGAAACGUCUGAAAUGUUCGAGGAAUUCAGAACACAGAUCAUAAUCUUAGGUGAUCAGCUACUAGCUGAAAUAAUGCCGAUCGAAAUAAAGUUCAUUCAAGCAAAUAAUUAGCGUUCGGAAAUGAAAGACUAAAUGACAAUUUAUGAAGAAGGUAAAUAGAAAUAAGAAAUUACUAUUAAUAGUCAGAUUUCAGAAAACCACAGUCUAAAAGCCGAAGUGCAGGACCUGGAGAGGAAGCUCGAUGUUGACUACGCUGCCAUGAUUAAGGAGCAAUUUGCAGGCAUGAAGGAGCAGUUGCUGGGUCAAACAAUGGACAUUCAGUUUCAUUACGUCAGUGUGAACAACGACUGUCUUCAAUUACGAGACGAAAUCAGCAUUUACGAAGGAGCCAAACGUCAGUUGGAACAUGAAAUUUAAAACCAGAUUGAAAACCUCACUGAUCAGAGUCAAAGCUUAAUUUUCGAGUUCCGAUUUACGUGCCUUCGAAAAGGAAAUCAGAGAACGUACUGAUGGUUUUGAACAGCCAAUUCGAUUUGAUAUAGAUCUCGUGGAGAACACGUUCAGUUGUGUAAAUCGUGAGCUGCAGGUUCUGGUCCAUAAGAUUUCAUACGAAGAGUACAUUUAGCUACUUGCGAUUUGGAAGAACGGCUUGGCAUGUUAUCUUCAGUUUUGACCGUGAAACACCGACGAGGCAGGAAGUGGCUGAAUUUUUAUAACGUCAGAAAACUAUUUCAGUAUAAUCUCUCCUCGCCCACUUUGCUAAGGGAAAGGAAAUAUACGAUGAAUGUUUAAUGGCGUUAGUCGAUGUGAUAAGUGUUGGAAACAGCCUUUCUACCGGUGAGAAAGAGAUGCUGUUAACUAAGGCAGAAGAGUUGCAGAGGAGAAGGGAAGAAGUGAAGAAAGAAUUUCCACAUAUCGAGCAGUUUCAUAUGAUUAACGAAUGAAGUGGUGCCCACUGCUUGCAAACAUUCCAGAAUGUCCCCGUGCGUGCCUCAAGGUCGAUCGACGAAGAACUCUGUGGCUCCCAGAGAAGAAGUUACUGAGGACAAUUUCCAUCACGCAAAAGCAAAGCUGUCCCACUAUACGCCGUGUAGGUCGCAUUGGGGUUGGGAGGUGGUAUAUAGCUCCUACUCUUUCGUAAACUGUACACUAGAUGGUGGUGAGUGAUCAGCGUCACGCCCUGGCCGCGAUUUACCACUGGCAAAAGACCCCGCUUCUCAUGGGAAUGGAGGCAGGUUCGUACCCCAGAACCGGUGUCUACGGUACAGGAAAAAUCAUCUACCCCCGUCGGAGAUCGAACAAUGGGUGUCCAGUCACUGAUAUAAUGAGCUACGCCGGCUCAUUAUAUCCAUUGAUGAUAAAUAGACAUUCUCUUCUCAGAGGCAAUGUAGAUUCAAUAAAUUUUAAAUUAAUUAUAAUUGUAAUUCCUAUGGAAAUUAGCAUUCCUAAAACCACACACUCGGAUGGUCAUUAUUCUGAAGCCUGAACAGCUAAUUCAAUUCCAUAAAUUCGUUCAGUAUUACCUUUUUAGUUCAGCGACGAUUGUGAUUAGUUUUUUGUCUGACUAUUCUAUUUUAUUUUAUAUAUAUCUAUUGACUUACAUUUUAUUGCCUUAUUCAGCUCCACUCACUUCAAGAGUAAUAAAUUUCAGGUUCUCACUGCGAGGAUUAUGAAGAUAACUCUCUCCUGUGUUCUUGUUCCAUAUAACCUCCUAGAAGUCUGCCGACGUUUCAGUGGUCUCGUCUUUCUUUCGAAAAUUUGGCGAUGACGGAAUGAAAGUUACGGAGUAGUUAGGGCAAGGGUCUAACCACAGCUCGGUUAAAUGUGUGAAGGGGUUAGGGACGGGGUCUUUAUCAUUAAGCUUUUUAAUUCAUAAUUUAUGAAUGCUUUUAUUAUGAUAAAUAGCGAAACAAAACUUACAAAUUUGACUGUAAGUGGUCUAACAAUACAAAUUAAAUGUUUUUCUGAGAUAAAAUUGACCAUACGAUAUAUUUUGUUAUUAUUUCGUUAAUUUGAAUUUAUUUUAGUUUCUCUUCAAAAUUGUGACGGCGUAACUCAGCCAGUAUACUUACUGGCUGCGGACUGAUCGUCCGGGGUUCGAUCACCGACGGGGGCUGGGGAAUUUUGCUAAAACCUCUGCGCCUAUACCGGGUCUAGGGUCCACACAUCCUCUUAUUGGGUAUCGGUGUCCUUUCCCAGGGGUAAAGCGCGGCCGUAGCGUGAUGCUUACCACUAACCCCCGCCUAGUGCCUAGGUGAAAAAUGAGUAGGAGCUAUACCACCUCUCCCCCCAAGCAACUACAUGGCGCAUAGUGGGACAGCUUUACUUUGCGUUACUUUACUUCAAAAUUGUAACUUUAUGUGGUGUUUGGAGCGUAUUACCCAAGUGUUUAUCAGACACAAUUGUGCGAGGAACUUCAGUGCCUGAAAAUCUUUGUUUUGACACUGAUUGGAAGUGACUUGCUGUGAAGUGGAUGUAGUCCCACCUGUCGCAAUUAGACUUUUGCUUAAAGUCAGUUUGAACAUUAUGGUUCAAGGUCGAUCAGCAACGAAUUUUACUGGAACAUGCAUUUUAAGGAAUAUAAAUGAAAGAAUUUUAAGUAGCCAUUUAGAGUCAAGAGCUAUAUGUAACUGACUACGACACUAGUUUGAAUGUCGGUUUGACUCUGCAACAAUUUUUAAUCAGUGACGUACACAUAAUCAUGUUCUUGUCCGCUACAAAUUAUAAAUUUCAACUUUAUUCAUCUUCUUGAUACUGGAGUCAGGCAAAAAUCUUUGGAGUGUUUUUCAGUGUAUUCGCAGUCUAAUUAAGUAAAUAAGCAACAUUCAGCACGCCAUCGAUUAUUCAGUAAUAGCAGCAUUCUCUAGUUUUCAGUAGCUACAUGCCGUUAACACCCGAAGAAGAAUCAAGUGCUUAUCAAGGAGUUAUUAUCACUGAGCGGCUGUAGUGGACUACCAUAUAUCCGAUUAUUUUUAAAAAAUAUAUUAUUGAGCGAAUGUUUUUAUAUCAUUAAAUAACACGAAUUAAACAAUAAA